rnacentral:rRNA from 1 species
GCAGCAGUGGGGAAUUUUGGACGAUGGGCGCAAGCCUGAUCCAGCCAUUCCGCGUGAGUGAAGAAGGCGUUCGGGUUGUAAAGCUCUUUCGGCAGGAACGAAAAGGCGGGCUUUAACAUAGCCUGUUACUGACGGUACCUGCAGAAGAAGCACCGGCUAACUACGUGCCAGCAGCCGCGGUAAUACGUAGGGUGCGAGCGUUGUUCGGAAUUACUGGGCGUAAAGCGUGCGCAGGCGGAUUGUUAAGCAAGACGUGAAAUCCCCGGGCUUAACCUGGGAAUGGCGUUUUGAACUGGCAGUCUAGAGUGCGUCAGAGGGGGGUGGAAUUCCACGUGUAGCAGUGAAAUGCGUAGAGAUGUGGAGGAACACCGAUGGCGAAGGCAGCCCCCUGGGAUGACACUGACGCUCAUGUACGAAAGCGUGGGUAGCAAACAGGAUUAGAUACCCUGGUAGUCCACGCCCUAAACGAUGUCAACUG